GAUGAACGCUGGCGGCGUGCCUAAUACAUGCAAGUCGAGCGAACGGACGAGAAGCUUGCUUCUUUGAUGUUAGCGGAGGACGGGUGAGUAACACGUGGAUAAUCUACCUAUAAGACUGGGAUAACUUCGGGAAACCGUAGCUAACACCGGAUAAUAUUUUGAACCGCAUGGUUCAAAAGUGAAAGACGGUCUUGCUGUCACUUAUAGCUGCAUCCGCGCUGCAUGAGCUAGUUGGUAAGGUAACGGCUUACCAAGGCAACGAGGCAUAGCCGACCGGAGGGGGGGAUCGCCCACACGGGAACGUGACCACGGUCCUUACUCCUGCGGGACGCAGCAGUAGGGAAUCUUCCGCAGUGGGCGGAAGCCUGACGGAGCAACGCCGCGUGAGUGAUGAAGGUCUUCGGUUCGUAAAACUCUGUUAUUAGGGAAAAACAGAUGUGUAAGUAACUGUGCACAUCUUGACGGUACCUAAUCAGAAAGCCACGGCUAACUACGUG
rnacentral:rRNA from 1 species